AUGAAGCGUAAAUGGUCUCAUUUGGAUGGUGCUGGAGAGGAGCUGGGAGGGGCUGACGUUUAUUUAAAUGGAGAGACCGAGGACUUGAAAUCCAAUGGCAAAUCAUUUUUAAACAGGCUACAUUCCUGGGCCGACGCACAGAACUCUGUCAACAGGGUUUUAGAGCAUAUCAGGUCUGGAGAUGAUGUCAAUGACGUUUUCCUCGAAGAUUCCACCAACAAGAAGUUUGUGGGAUUUUAUAAUGACAUCACAGAGGAAUGUGGACCAGAGGAUAAGCAGCAUUCAUGGGCGGUUCUAGAGAAACCAGAGGAGGUCAUCAUGUAUGGACCCUACUACCCCAAUUAUAACAAUGGACAACACAGCGAAGAUAUUAUCAUCAAACAAACUCAAGAACUCCUUGAAUCUGAGGAUGUUUCUAAAGACUGGAAUGUGUAUCUAUUCACCUUGAACAGCCCCUGUUUGGCAAGAACCACUGAGCCAUGUAUGCUAAAUCUAACGCGGAAGGCUUUGGAAUGGUACACCCACCAUGGGGUUAGGACUUCUAUUGGCUACAGAAAGUGUUGGGGCUUCAAGGGAACCAAAGAGAAUGUAUUCAAAGAUGUCAGUUAUGCCCAGUUCGAGCUAUUAUUUGGAAGUCAUGAUUAUGAAAACUACCUGAAUAGGAUUUUAAAAAAUCCUGGAAAUAAUCUAGUCCCAUUAUGUGAAAUUCUGUUCUUGACUAUCAAAAGAUGGCUGAGCCAGGAAAACAGGAAUUUUAAAUUCCAUCUAGAUAACACUACUCCACAAAAGGGCAGAAAAACCUAUUUCAAAAAUAUCUGUGUAAUUUCAACAUCAGGAUUGCAAGACGAGAGUGAGGUCUUGACACAGGAAAUAACCACUAUGCUUGAGGCUGUGCACUCCUCUCUUGUAGAUGAAAAAGAGUGUUUAGAGGAGUAUCUAGAGAAAGGGAAGGCAUUUGCCCUUGAUUACAGUUUCGACCCAGAAAUAUGUGACACGGAUCGUACUAAACUUAGACUGUCAUUUGAGCAGUGCUGGAGAGUCAUGGUACAGGACCAAUAUGCUGAUCUUCUCAGGGAGAGAUUAAUAAAUAACUUCAACAGGGGGGUUGUCCAGCUUUUCAUCAAGGAUGUCACCGCUCUUACCAAAGACUACAUACAGAUUGGUCAGAUAAAGUUUCCAGAUCAGGCUUGA
ensembl:lncRNA